AGUGAACGCUGGCGGUAGGCCCAACACAUGCAAGUCGAGCGGCAGCGGGAAGUAGCUUGCUACUUUGCCGGCGAGCGGCGGACGGGUGAGUAAUGUCUGGGAAACUGCCUGAUGGAGGGGGAUAACUACUGGAAACGGUAGCUAAUACCGCAUAACGUCGCAAGACCAAAGAGGGGGACCUUCGGGCCUCUUGCCAUCAGAUGUGCCCAGAUGGGAUUAGCUAGUAGGUGGGGUAACGGCUCACCUAGGCGACGAUCCCUAGCUGGUCUGAGAGGAUGACCAGCCACACUGGAACUGAGACACGGUCCAGACUCCUACGGGAGGCAGCAGUGGGGAAUAUUGCACAAUGGGCGCAAGCCUGAUGCAGCCAUGCCGCGUGUAUGAAGAAGGCCUUCGGGUUGUAAAGUACUUUCAGCGGGGAGGAAGGUGUUGAGGUUAAUAACCUCAGCAAUUGACGUUACCCGCAGAAGAAGCACCGGCUAACUCCGUGCCAGCAGCCGCCGUAAGAC
rnacentral:rRNA from 1 species